CUAUGCUACUGUGAUUUUAUUUACUUCAACUGUGGUGUUCCUGUUCUAGUACUGCUAGACCUCAGCUAUUAUUUCUAGUGUUAGAUUAAUAUUCAAGGAUGGUAUCACAGUACAUUACUAAAAUUUUAUACAUAUGAUGAUGAUAUCUAUUACGGUAUUUUAAUGAGAGUGAGUUGUUCAUGUAUAAAAACUUCUUGAUUUCAGGCCCAUUGCACCGAUUUCCUAAACCUGAAUACCCACAUUUGGAAAAGUUUAACUCGUGGAAAAAAGUACUAGAUAAAGCUUUACAAGAGAAAGGCGACAUCUACAUUUAUAACCAAAUUCGAUUUUGCGACAGACAUUUUGAAGAGUGUUACCGUUCAGCCAGUCACCGACUUACUCCAAAUGCAAUACCAACUCUAGAUUUAUCUACAUUACCAGUUGGUCAAACUCUUGAAGGUCCAUCGGGACAUGUCGAGGCAGACAUGUCGAAUUUAUUAAACAUUUCGCAAGAUAAACUUGCUGUCAUUGAGCCAUCCAGCUCUACCCACUAUCAUAGUGAUGUACAGAAUGCAUUACAGACAGCUGAACGCCCUAAAGGUUCUAGGAAAAGAGGGACUUGUCAAUAUUUAAAACGAGUCGUCACCUCCAAAGAGAAGGAGAUAAUAAAGUUAAAACAGAAAGUAUUGAAGCUGAAAAAGAAAUAUAAGGAACAAAAUAACAAGAAACUCUCUGCAAGGAAAAUUUCCACAUCAAAAUCAUUUUGAAAGAGUUAAAUAAAAUGCCUGCAACAAUAAAAAUAUUUACUUCCCUCCAAAUGAAAUGGAAAAAGAAACCACGAGGCAGGCGAUUUACAUUUAACGAAAAAAUCAUGGCAUUGACCAUUUACAAACAGAGUCAGAAAGCUUACAACCUCAUGCGAAAAAUGUUUGUCUUGCCAUCAAAGCGCAGCCUACAAAAAAUGUUGAGUAAAUUUGAACUGAAACCAGGCUUCAAUCCUGAUAUAUUUAAAAUUUAAAAGCUACAGUAGCAAAAUUGCCGGCAGAAAAAGUUGGUCAAUUUACUGUUUGAUGAGGUAUCAUUGGCUCCGGGUGUUUUUUACAACCCUGCCCUAAAACAGAUAACUGGUUUUGAAGAUUUUGGGCACAGACAAACAAAAAAACUCGCAGAUCAUGCCUUGGUCUUUAUGAUCAAGGGUAUAAAAAGCAAAGUGAAACAACCUUUAUGCUUUUCAUUUUGCCAAGGUGCCACGAAAAAGGACGAUUUAAAGAAGCUGAUCAAAACAAUAAUAAAAGAAAUCUCCAAUACUGGAUUGAUAGUUAUUGCCACUAUAUGUGACCAAUCAGCCACAAAUAUUUCUGUGAUAAAAAGUCUUCAAGAAGACACAAAACGCAAAUAUUUACAAGAGGGUAAUGAAUAUAGGACCCAAGCCUUCGAGUUUGAAGACCAAAAGGUCUUCCCAUUAUUUGAUCCUCCACAUCUUUUAAAGGGAAUGAGAAAUAAUUUACUCCAAACAUUUGAAAUUUGUACAAGAUGGGAAAACAAAGUAUGCAAAGUGGGAACAUUUGGAGAUGCUGUUGAAGUUAGAUGUUGGGGAUGAUGAAAUUAGGCUUGUUAAUAAAUUAACAGAAAACCAUGUUAAUAAAGAGAAAAUUCCAAAAAUGAAAGUGAAAUAUGCUGCACAAGUUUUCAGCCAAAGGGUAUCAUCAGCAUUGAGAUUCUUAGCAAAACACAACCUUCUUCCGGCGGAGUGCGAAGAAACUGCUGAUUUUCUACUCAUUAUGGACAAACUAUUUGAUUCUUUCAAUGGACAUUCAUAUACAGGUGAUCCAAAAUUUUCAAGGGGUGUGUAAUGAAUAAUUCUCCUCAUUUUAGAUUAUGGACAG